rnacentral:misc_RNA from 1 species
UACGUAGGACCCAAGCGUUAUCCGGAAUUACUGGGCGUAAAGCGUACGUAGGCGGUUUGUUAAGUGAGAUGUUAAAUCCGGUGGCUCAACCAUUUGGCUGCAUCUCAAACUGACGGACUGGAGUAUAGGAGAGGUAAGUGGAAUUACCGGUGUAGCAGUGAAAUGCGUAGAUAUCGGUAGGAACACCAAUGGCGAAGGCAGCUUACUGGCCUAUUACUGACGCUGAGGUACGAAAGCGUGGGGAGCGAACAGG